rnacentral:rRNA from 1 species
CCUACGGGAGGCAGCAGUGGGGAAUAUUGCACAAUGGGGGCAACUCUGAUGCAGCGACGCCGCGUGCGUGAAGAAGUAAUUCGGUAUGUAAAGCUCUAUCAGCAGGGAAGAAAAUGACGGUACCUGAGUAAGAAGCCCCGGCUAACUACGUGCAAGCAGCCGCGGUAAUACGUCGGGGGCAAGCGUUAUCCGGAUUUACUGGGUGUUAAGGGAGUGUAGACGGGAGUACAAGUCUGGAGUGAAAGGCGGGGGCUCAACCCCGGGACUGCUCUGGAAACUGUACGGCUGGAGUGCAGGAGAGGUAAGUGGAAUUCCUAGUGUAGCGGUGAAAUGCGUAGAUAUUAGAAGGAACACCAGUGGCGAAGGCGGCUUACUGGACUGUAACUGACGUUGAGGCUCGAAAGCGUGGGGAGCAAACAGGAUUAGAUACCCCAGUAGUC